AACGCUAGCUACAGGCUUAACACAUGCAAGUCGAGGGGAAACGACAUCGAAAGCUUGCUUUUGAUGGGCGUCGACCGGCGCACGGGUGAGUAACGCGUAUCCAACCUGCCCAUCACUUGGGGAUAACCUUGCGAAAGUAAGACUAAUACCCAAUGAUAUCUCUAGAAGACAUCUGAAGGAGAUUAAAGAUUUAUCGGUGAUGGAUGGGGAUGCGUCUGGUUAGCUUGUUGGCGGGGUAACGGCCCACCAAGGCGACGAUCAGUAGGGGUUCUGAGAGGAAGGUCCCCCACAUUGGAACUGAGACACGGUCCAAACUCCUACGGGAGGCAGCAGUGAGGAAUAUUGGUCAAUGGGCGAGAGCCUGAACCAGCCAAGUAGCGUGCAGGAUGACGGCCCUAUGGGUUGUAAACUGCUUUUAUAAGGGAAUAAAGUGAGUCUCGUGAGGCUUUUUGCAUGUACCUUAUGAAUAAGGACCGGCUAAUUCCGUGCCAGCAGCCGCGGUAAUACGGAAGGUCCGGGCGUUAUCCGGAUUUAUUGGGUUUAAAGGGAGCGUAGGCCGGAGAUUAAGCGUGUUGUGAAAUGUAGAUGCUCAACAUCUGCACUGCAGCGCGAACUGGUUUCCUUGAGUACGCACAAAGUGGGCGGAAUUCGUGGUGUAGCGGUGAAAUGCUUAGAUAUCACGAAGAACUCCGAUUG
rnacentral:rRNA from 1 species